UAUAUAUAUAUUUUUAUAUAUAUAUCCCAAAAAAAAAUAAAAAAAAAAAAAAAAAAAAAUGAAAACAUAUAAUGAAAAUUGUUGUUCUAAUAAUUUGUUAGAAAAUUCUCUAUUAUUAAUUAAUAAACAUCGGUUUGAUAGUGUCAACGAAAAUACGCCUUAUGAAGAAAAAUAUUUAAAUAAAAAAAAAUAUUUGGAUAAUUUAUUAGAUUUAAAAUUUUGUUGUAUAAAAAGAACAAGUAGUUUAAAAUAUUCACUUGAUAAUAAUAAAGAAAAUGCAAAUAAUGUUACUUGUGAGUAUGUAAAUAUCACAAAUAAAAAUAAUGACUGUAGUGGUAACACAGUUAAUAAUAGCAAUGUAUAUAACAUAACCGAUAAUAAAGAAUACUGUGUUUAUUUUAUACUUCGACAAUGGUUUGUCAAAUUUGAGCAUAAACAAAAAGUUUAUACUAAUAAUAACAGUAAUAGUUAUAGUGAUUAUAAAAAUAAUGGUUGCAGCACUAAUAAACAUAGUUUUAAAAAACGCCAGGAGCAAAAAAACAAAAAAACUUCAAAAAAUGUAACAAGUUAUGUUAUUAUUUCAAAACAUUUACAUAAAAAUAACAACUCAUGUGCUUACACAGAAAUAAAAGUAGAAAUACCAAAUUAUAAUGUUGAUGUGGAUGGAUAUUUUAUACAAAUACAUGUAAAUAAAAAUAAUAAAAAUAUUUUAUUAUUGUCAAACACUGAGUGUGUUUUAAUAAGAACAAAAUUAAUUAAACAUAAUUUUAUUCAAGCAGAAAAAAUAUUAAGUAAUAAAAAUUUAAAUGUUUCAAUAAAAAGAAAAAUUAUUAAAGCGCAGUGGUUUGAUAAAUCAGAAAAUGUAAUAGUAUUAUUAACUUAUGAAUGUUUCCCAUUAUAUAAUUUUUCUAAUUGUGAUAAUAGGUCUAUCAUUAGAUUAAUUAAUAUAAAAAAUUUAAUUAAAGAUGAAAUAAAAAUAGUACUUCCGGACAUAGAUAUACUUAUGCGAAAAAUUAAUAAUACCAGUUUGGAUGUUUUGAAAAAGUCUUUCACCAUGAGUAACAAAAAAGUAGAUUAUUACAGAUCGACGAGAGCAGCUGUGACGACUGCCAUGACUUCCACAAGUGAUAAUACAACUGCAAGUACAGGGGCUACUAUUAUUAACAACAAAACCGAAAUAGUUAAUGGAAAUAAUUGCGAAAAUGACACUACUAAAAAACAUGACAACAUCGGAGGAGAAAAUGAAACUAAUAA
rnacentral:lncRNA from 1 species